UACGGAGGGUGCGAGCGUUGUUCGGAAUCACUGGGCGUAAAGAGCGUGUAGGCGGACUGGCAAGUCUGGUGUGAAAGCCCGGGGCUCACCCCCGGAAGUGCACUGGAAACUGCCAGACUCGAGUCCCGGAGAGGAGAGUAGAAUUCCUGGUGUAGCGGUGAAAUGCGUAGAUAUCAGGAGGAAUACCGGUGGCGAAGGCGGCUCUCUGGACGGUGACUGACGCUGAGACGCUAAAGCGUGGGGAGCAAACAGG
rnacentral:rRNA from 1 species